GCAGCACAAACGAACCCGACCUGAUAGGAGGCGUCUCAGGUUAAACCGAAACUUGUUUUUCUUUGUUUUUAGUACUUCGAGAUUCAUUUAUUAGAGAAGAAGAUAGUAGAUGUAUCUACUUAGCUUGAUAUUUGUUGAAUAUUUGACUUUAACGUGUUUAAUCGAAGCUAAUAGGCGGACUUAGGCCGUUUCGAAGACAAAUAGCUUUUUUAUUUAAAUACGUGUAUUAAUGUUUUGUUUAAAUGACAAGUUUAAUCCCGCAAAUCUUACGUGAAAUCGAAAACGACCUUCACUCGAAACUGAAGAAUUUUAUUUUUUAUUUUUUGUGUGAGACGUCACCAUUUAGUUAUGGUGAUGGCGUUAGGCUAAACGAGCCAAAUAUAGACUAACGUUAAUGCUAACGUUGUCCGCAUAUUACUGCGGUCGUGAAUGGACACUCAAAAUAGCGCCUAAUCGAUUAUCAACAUAUCAGAUUAUCGAUAUGUUUUCUUUAGAAAACAGAGCCAAAGUCUUUGCUUUUCAUGGUCCUAUGGUAGUUUCGCUCAAGAUGGGAGCCGUGACGUAGCCGCCUGCAAACGUUGGCUAUUGGUUGAUUUGAACAACGCGGUAACGUGGCCGAGCUGUCCUAUGACGACGGUAGGCUGACAUUUUUAGGGAGUGGUCAGCUAGGUUAGCAACUGUUAGCCCUGGCAAACUAAACGACCGCUUGUACUUUUUGUCAGCCCGAAGUAGAAGGGGGAAAAGAGCAGAAGAGGAACAAAAGUCUUAGUAACCGAGAACGUCUACUGUUGUAAAAGACUUAUUUGUCCAUACUUGGCAGAAACAAAGGCAGUGAAGUCAGAAGUUGAAGAGGCCAAGACGAGAAUGAUCAGACGAUCUCUGAAAAUACAAGAGCAGAAAUUUUAACUUACAAAAGUCAGACACUGAAGAGGCCAAGACAAGAAUGAGCAGACAAUCUCUGAAAAUAGAAGAGCAGAACAUUUUAUUCACAAAAGUCAGACACUGAAGAUGCCAAGACAAGAAUGAGCAGACAAUCUCUGAAAAUAGAAGAGCAGAACAUUUUAUUCACAAAAGUCAGACACUGAAGAUGCCAAGACAAGAAUGAGCAGACAAUCUCUGAAAAUAGAAGAGCAGAAAAUUUAUUUCACAAAAUCGGUAUCUGAAGAGACCAAGACAAGAAUAAAGAAGAACAAUAAUACUAAACACUUCAGAGCAACCUUGUUAUGGAAAGGAGAUAUUAUAGAAAACACUUCAGUUAAUUAAGAAGUUACAUUGAGUCUAAUGCAAAUAUUAUUUAAUAUACGCAACAGUCUCAGACUAAUGAGAGGCCAAAUCAGCAGCGGACAUCAAUAAUGUAGACUGAAGAGAACAUGCUUAAACUACUUUUUCCACUAAAGGAAGCAAAAUAAGAAACAAAAGCUUUAUUUUAGCUAUUUGAAAUUGCGGACCAGGUCCUGGUUCAAGUCUUUGUCAUUGCUUGGGUGAAAACCUUUUUAAAGCAAGCAAGCCAUUUUUUAAUUUAUUUAUAUUUUUUAAUCACUUGAGUUCCACUCUGUGACUUUUUGUCAGGCGUUAUGCAUUUACAACAUUUCAAUUGCUUUAACCAAAGUAAUAGACGAAAACCUCAGAUUUAAAAACCAACUUUGAAGAAACGACAGCUUUCUUCACCAGAGCCCUAGCUGUAGCUCAGAGCCACAGGCUCAGGAUUUCAUUUUCUGUUGUCAACUUUAUAAAAAAAAAAAGAUGAGAAAAUUAUUUUUUUGCUUUAGCGAAGACAGAAGAUUUUUUUUUUCUUCGGGGAAAUGGACUGAGUUAUCGUGGGGAGGAACGGACUUAGUUAUUAGAGGAAGAAUGGACUUAGUUAUUAGAGGAACAUCGCAGGACCAGCGUGGAGCAAGGCCGUGGGACACAGGGAGGACCAGAAUGGAGCCAGGCAGGACAGGACCAGAGGGCAUGGAGGGAGGAUCAGAGGGUCCAAAAGAGCAGCAGGCAGCAGCAGUCAUCGAGGGUACACCAGAUGGAGCCAAAGGCGCAGGGCAGGGUAGCAGCGCAGAGGGGCCAUCACUGACGCAGUGGCAGCAGAUCCAGAGCAAGCCAGCCAGCCAGUGGUCAGAGGGUGGUGGGACAGGGCAUACAAGUGUCUUCUAGCAGCAUCAGUUUAAAAGGAAGGGAUUGGUUUGUAUGUUGGGUCGAGGUAACAUUCUCGGGCAAUUUAGUUUUCUAAAUUUCUUUCCAGUAGAAACUGUUGUAGAACACAAUGUCUCGCACAGCUCUCUCUUCCUUUUUUCAGGCAAGCCGUAUAAUGGUAUCGUACCGUGGAUUUCCCUCCUGUUGUUCGCUGACAUAAGUGUGGUGGUGUCUGCUGUCAUGAAUGCCUUGGUAGUGUGCUGGAGAGAGGAGCGUCUUAUCGGGACUUCCCUACCCCCUGCAAUCAGAAGUAGUUCCCCAGCCGGAGGGAGGGGCAUACCUUUGUUGGUCAAUAGGUCUACCCCCAGAGAAGUUUUCAGCAUUGGAGUGUGAGAGUGGAUGGUCUCCUGUGCGACCGAUUGAGUGUAUUCAGCAACCCUUCAGUGCUUCAGCAGCGCCUCAUUGGUACAAAUCAGCUACAUCUACCUCUUAACCCGAGCAGUGAGUUAAUGCAUGAAAUGUACAUGUGGGUGUAACUAUCCUGUACAUAAAGUCAUUAUUACCUAAUGCUGUAUAGUAUCCAGUAGUUUUGUAAUCCAAAGAAAUGCAUUGAAAUCGUUUUUGACCCUGACUACAAUAGAUUUUUGGGUUAAGGGGUUGGGGGGUGGGUACCUAAAACGUGUUUCGAGUUCUUCUUUUCACAGGCUUGGCCCCUAAAGGUGACCCAUCGAAAGAACCCCCCAUGCUAGCUGCUCUGUUGAGCUCAUCUUAUUUACUGUAGUGCUUUGGAUCGGGAUCAUGUGCAUCAACUGCGGUUUUAAGAGAUAUAGGAAGGUAUUUGGUGUUGUUCAAUUAAGUCCAUUUAGAAUUCACUAUUUAUCAAUUCUACACUAUUUGGAAACGUGUUGUAAAUGAGGUUUGAUGCACAUGUCUUGGGUAGCGGGAGGGUGGGUUGUGGGGCGUUAAUCAGUCUCUUCCUAGACUUCACAGCUCCUCGUUACCCAACGCAAAACGGCUUGAAUAGGAAACCAUCCAGUCGCACCCAACAAGAUUCAAGUGGACACUUUGCCUCCCAGGAUAGCAACCUCAAAACUAGCCUCCUGGUGUAGCAAGAAGCUCUAUUUUCCCAGGGAGUGCGGUAACAAGUCUCUUUACUAGAAGUCAUUGUAAUUCUGUACAGGCUGCAAAUUGCUUUGUGUGGUUGGGAGGGGCUUUUUAUUUGUGAUUCUUGCAGAUAGUUAUAUGGCCCGCCCUUCAAAAAUUCUCCAUUCAAGUCUACGUCUUCAGUUCAUAAGGAAGGAAUCCUUCGCGUUGAGGCCUGUGGUAUUUAAAUGCUUCUUCUGGAAAAGUUAAAAUUAAUUUUUGAAUUGUGUUCAUAGUCAUUCAGUUGUCCUUUUCUAAAAAGGCAGUUGUACUUGUAGCUACUGUAAUGCCAGUAAUUGUGUUGUAGUUCUUUACUGCUUCAUUGUAUUUGGGGAGGGGUAUUGUGGGAGAGGCUUUUUCCUUUUGCAUUUUUCAGUGUGCUGUGUCCUGUGCGCUUUCCAAUACCCGAGAUCAUCAGGAACUCUCCUAACUCAUUGUAUGUUCAAGUUUCCUUGCGCAGCGAGCAUCACGUAAGGUCACUAAAUGUGUUCACAUUAUCUUUAACAUUCAUUGUCUGGCAAAAUGCCUCCACUGCAAUUCCUUUGCAAUUAGUUACUAUGCCUUGUAUUGAUAAUACAAUGAGUGAACUAUCUGUAAAGGAUUUUCUUAUUGCAUAAUAAAUGCAUAGCUUGUUGUGAUUGAA